rnacentral:rRNA from 1 species
UCGACCCCAGGAUGGGCGAGGCCACCCGCCGAGUUUAAG